GGCUCGUAAACGCACCAUCAGAUGCGUACUUCCGGGGAAGUUUAGAACUGUCUACAAACUUUUAAAACUCAUUUCUUAGCUCUGUCGAGUCUUAAAGGAGACUCAAAGGGGAAUAUUUCUGACCACGUGACUAACCUGUCAGGACGACCGGUGGCUUUCUUGGUGAACUUUGUCGCCUUGGAGCAAAAUGCUAACCUGCACGUUAGCAUCCUGACGCUGUGCCUGUGUUCCCGCCGACGGGUGACAUCACUAGAGCCUAAAUGUCAUGACGACGCGGCCGCAGGCUCAUUUGGCAAGCAUCGUAACAUCAGGUGGCGUGGCGGUGAAUCACAGCAAUUCAAUAGUUUGUUGUUUUAACACACACCACCGACUUGCCGUGACGUCACCGCUCGGAGUCGGCCAAGCACCUUCAAUUUGAAAAAGUGGUCUCCGGAUACUCUUGUCUUCCUCCGACAUCCCAAAAACAUGCAAGUCAAUUCCAGGUCCACAGCAGACACGCCAGAACAUGAGGAUCCGAUUCCGUCACCAUGAGAGCCCAGCCACGUUGGCUACUGUUCACCUCCUCCUGUUGGGCAGACCUGUUCUGCCCAGACCGGCGUGGCAGUGCACAGCAACCCUUCCCUCCCCCGCAGCGAAGGCCAACACCUUUACGCCAUCGAUGAUGCCGACGAGGGAGGACACGCCGAAAUCUGGCAUCCCAAAGUUGUAGAAAUAAACUGAACAUUCACACAAAGAACAUCAAAUGGUUUGAGUCACAACAUUAGGCACAGUAUCUGCAAAAUACAAUGAAGAAUUCAGCCUUCUACUAAUAUACUGCAGUUAUGCUCGAUUUCCCAAAACCGUUAGAAACUUAGAAAUGUCCAAAACGGGAAUUGUCACGAGUUUUGAUGGGCCGAUAACAAAUUUUGCUGGACGAUAUGUUGUCCCAUAAAUUGUUGCCGAAAAACGGCAAUAUUGUCAGCAAUAUUUGGAGACCAAAUUACGCACGAUAAUGCAAAUAUUCCUUUCAAAUGUAAUAAACUUUGAUUUAUUAGUUGUUUUUCUUAACCAUAAUUAGAAGUUCAGUAACUUUAAAGUGUCUUCAAGAAAUAAAACUAUCUUGUCAAUCGGACAAAUAGAACAGACAAGCCAUUGUCAUGUCUGCUCGCGGAAAAACAAAAAUCGUAAUCUACGAUUUGACUCCCUCGAAUGGCCUUGACGCAGGAGCAGGCUGUUCUGAAAACAUCCCAGAGGACACCUCAAUGAUGGACGCUUUUGACCUCCCUCCCUCCUCAACGACACCUGGAGUCGAACUUUUGCUUGCAUGCAGAACGGCCCCAGGCCUAUGGACACUACAUCCACACACCCAAGACAAUGGGCAUAUACACGCACACCCC